rnacentral:rRNA from 1 species
CACGACUACGAGUUUGAUCAUGGCUCAGAGCGAACGCUGGCGGCAGGCCUAACACAUGCAAGUCGAACGAACUCUUCGGAGUUAGUGGCGGACGGGUGAGUAACACGUGGGAACGUGCCUUUAGGUUCGGAAUAACUCAGGGAAACUUGUGCUAAUACCGAAUGUGCCCUUGGGGGAAAGAUUUAUCGCCUUUAGAGCGGCCCGCGUCUGAUUAGCUAGUUGGUGAGGUAAAGGCUCACCAAGGCUACGAUCAGUAGCUGGUCUGAGAGGAUGACCAGCCACAUUGGGACUGAGACACGGCCCAAACUCCUACGGGAGGCAGCAGUGGGGAAUCUUGCGCAAUGGGCGAAAGCCUGACGCAGCCAUGCCGCGUGGAUGAUGAAGGUCUUAGGAUUGUAAAAUCCUUUCACCGGUGAAGAUAAUGACUGUAGCCGGAGAAGAAGCCCCGGCUAACUUCGUG